AUGGGUUCCAAUGGCAGCCUUAUCCUUUGAAGGAUCAAGUAAACAUAAUAAUCCAUGACAAGCACCAUAAACAGAGGGGAGAUCAUUCUUAAAAAAGGGCAAGUGAAUGUUUUGUUUUACUAUAUAAUUUUGAUCUUUUUCAUUUGAAAGUUGAGAGUAAUAAAGUUAGAAGGCGUUACCAUCAAGGCGACUAAGAAGUAGAUUAAGGUUGUUGUUUUCAAGGUUAUUGGAAAUGAAAUGAGGAGUUUGAAUAGAAGAACACCAAUACUUACAAACACAGUUGAAGCGAGUAAGGGAUUUAACUGGAAGCUUUGACAGAAUUUCAAUAACCAAAGCUUCUGGCAAUUCAAACCUUGGCCUCUGCAUCUUGCUAUUUUGUUGGUGUUAAGAGGCAAUAGCAAGCUGGUUUCAGCUUGCUUGGACAGCAAGUGUCGAGCCUUGCUGAAGAAACAAACUCAAAAAGAAACAGAAAUCAAGCUUGCAAGUGGAAAAACAGAAAAACGAGAGAGAGUUUGAAUGAAAAACAAACUGAAAGUUUUUCAUUAACAUUAAACAAGGCAUUGAGCCAUUACAUAUAUUAGCUAACAUGUAAUACAAACAAGUAAUUGCCUAAUCAACUACCUAACUCCACUAAUCUGUCUUGAAACUUACAAAAAUAGCUUCAUCAUAUUGCUAUGUUGAUUUUCAAUCAAUCAACAUCAAAAUUACAUCAAAACAUUUAUCUACUUAGUUCAACAUGAACUAGAUUACAAAAUAAUUAAAAUUCAACUAAAACACAACAAUUAAUUUGGCAACUUCAAGCUCCAGCUUCUGCACAUCAUGGCUCGACUGCUUGUUGCCAUUUCUUCUUGUAUGGCCACCUUUGCAUAGGAACUAAUCUCAACACUCCUCCUUAGUUGCCAUGUUAGUGACACCUAGUUCCUUCUUCAACUUUAUAAACCUUGACACAUUUAAAGCUUUGGUAAAAAUGUCAGCAAUUUGCUCCUCCGAAUUGCAAUGAACCAGCUCGAUUUCAUGAGCUUGUUCCAUCUCUCUUAUAACAUGUAGUUUGAUGUUAAAGUGCUUCGUUCUGCCAUGAAAGAUGGGAUUCUUUGCAAUUGCAACAGCAGAUUUGUUAUCACAGUAAAUCUCUGUUGCUUCUUCUUGGUUUUGGUUUAAAUCAGCCAAGAUUUUUCUAAGCCAUAUGGCUUGAUUCACAGCAGAUGCAGCAGCAACAUAUUCAACUUCUGCUGUUGAUUGUGCCACCAGACUCUGCUUCUUAGAACUCCAGCAAAACAUGCCUGAGCCAAGGCUAAAUGCAUAUCCAGAUGUGCUUCUCAUGUCAUCACAUGAUCCAGCCCAAUCACUAUCGACAUAGCCUAUUAACUUCAUGUUUUCAGCUCUUUUGAACAUCACACCAUGGUUAAUGGUGCCUUUGAUGUACCUCAGCACUCGUUUAGCUGCUUGAAAAUGCUGAUUGUUGCAGCAAUUCAUGCAUCUGGAUAGCACACUAACUGCAAACAUAAUAUCGGGCCUUGUUGCAGUCAAAUAUAGUAGACUACAAAUGAGACUUUUGUACAUAGUCUCACAAACUGGUUCACCAGUUUCCUGCCUCGAUAGCUUCAUUCCAACAACCAUUGGUGUGCUUGUUGGCUUGCAGUUCUUCAUUGAGAACUUGUUUAAAACUUUCAUAGCGAAGGAACUCUGGCUGAGAAAGAUUCCAGUUCCAUUUUGUUUUACUUCCAUUCCUAGGAAGUAGUUCAUUCUGCCUAAAUCAGACAUCUCGAACAUUUUCAUCAUUUUCUUCUUGAAAUCAUGCAUCAUAUUUUUGUCUCCUCCAGUUACUAACAAAUCAUCAACAUAGAGUGACAAGAUAAGUUGAGUCUCAGCUUAAUUUUUCUUCACAUGCAGUGUUGGUUCACUGGCACUUCUCUCGAAUUCCAAACUGAGCAAGUAGGAAUCAAUUCGAGCAUACCAGGCUCGAGGGGCCUGUUUCAGGCCGUACAAGGCCUUUUUCAAUCUGUAGACCAUGUGUUCUUUGCCAGUGACUACAAACCCUUGAGGUUGCUCAAUGUAAAUCUCUUCUUCUAGGAAGCCAUUGAGGAAUGCAGACUUCACAUCCAGCUGAUGAAUGGUCCACUGAUUUUGAGCAACCAAAGCAACUAUCAUUCUGACCGUGUCAAGUCUGGCUACUGGUGCAAAGGUUUCCAAGUAGUCCAGACCAUACCUUUGGCUAAAACCUUUGACAACAAGCCUGGCCUUCAGUUUGUUCAAACUGCCAUCUGCAUUUUGUUUUGCUCGAUAGACCCAUUUUACUCCAAUGGUCUUCUUUCCAGCUGGUUUAUCAACCAGCUCCCAUGUUUGAUUCUUUUGAAUCAUAUUGAUUUCAUCAAGCAUAGCUUGUUUCCAGCCUUCAUCUGCCUCAGCCUCUUCAAAACUGCUAGGUUCUGCUGUAGCAACCUGUGCCCUUUCAUAAAUCUCAUCUAGGGGCCUUGUGCCUCUCACAGGUACAUCAGCAACAUCCAACUCAGAACCAAGCUGCUCGAGUUCAGUUUGAUUAGGCACCAAGUCUUCUGAAACUGUUUCAGGCUCAUUUUUCUCUCAAUUCCAGCAAGCCUUUUCAUCAAAGAUAACAUCUCUGCUUACCUGAACUUUGCUUGUCAAGGGAUCCAGAAUCCUGUAGCCCUUCUUGACCGAGCUAUAGCCCACUAGGAUGCCAGGUUGGGAUCUCUUUGACAGCUUGUCCCUCUUUGCUGCUGGUAUUUGUGCAUAGCAUAGGCAACCAAACACCUUCAGAUGUGCCAAUGAAGGUUUGAAGCCAAACCAUGCCUCGAAAGGUGUCUUGGAUGCAAGAGCUUUGGUAGGAAGCCUAUUCUGAAGGUAAACAGCAGUGUUUACUGCCUCAGCCCACAUGGUCUUAGGCAGUUUCUUCUCAAACAGUAAGCAUCUUGCCAUAUCCAUUAGGCUUCUGUUCUUCCUUUCAGAUACCCCAUUCUGCUGAGGUGUGUACACAUUUGUUAGCUGGUGUUUAAUGCCAGCAUCAUUGCAAAUGGGUUGGAACUGAGUUGAAUUGUACUCAGUGCCAUUGUCUGACCUUAUCGAUUUCAGCUUGCAGCCUGUUUCUGUCUCUAUAGCAGUUUUAAACUUCACAAACACUUGAGCUACCUCAGACUUGUGUUUCAAGAAGAAAAUCCAGCAAAACCUUGUAAAAUCAUCAAUGAAGAGGAUGAAAUACUUGUUUUUGCUGAGUGAUUCAGUCCUCAUAGGUCCACAUACAUCAGAGUGCACCAGCUGCAAUCUUUCAGUGGCUCUCCAUGCUAAACUUGUAGGAAAUGGCAGUCUUGCCUGUUUUCCCAUCUGGCACACUUCACACACAUCAUCAUGCUCCAUUGAGCUGGUGAAGUUCUUUGCCAAUCCCUCUUUGGCCAAUCGAGCCAUUGAUCUGAAGUUGGCAUACCCGAGCCUUUGGUACCAAAUCUUGGAAUCAUCAACAGAGGCAGUGUAUGCUGACUUUGAGUUAUUUGGCCAAUGGACCUCAAAGCAUUUAUCAGUCAUUGUGACUGUCAUAAGGCUUGAUCCACUUAGAUCAGCAAUGUGGCACUGUUUGUCCUUGAACACAACAGAAUAACCUUUCUCAAGCAAUUGAGCUAUGCUGAGAAGGUUUCUGUCAAUUUCAGGUACCAGCAAGACAUUUGAGAUAACUUUGUUUCCUGUAGGAGUACAUAUCAGCACCUCUCCUCUUCCUUCAGCCCUUAUGAACUGACCAUUUCCAACCUUGACCUUGGUUUUGCAACUUCUAUCCAAGGUUUUAAAUAAGGAGGUAUCUGGUGACAUGUGGUUAGUACAACCACUGUCCAAUAACCAGCCUUUUGAACUUUUCUUUUCAGCAGCUAAGCAAGAAACAGCAAAGACCUGCUCUUCUUGAUCACUACUGUCCUCAGCCACUCGAGCUUCAACCUUUGGCUGCUGAAAUUGAUUCUGCCUUGGCUUAUUCCUGUUUUUACAGACCCUUUCAACAUGGCCCUUCUUCUUGCAGUGUUGGCACACAGCAUCUGGCCUAAACCAGCAUCUAUCUUCUGGAUGUCUUGACCUCUUGCAAUAUCUGCAGGGCUGGUCAUUGCUCCUUGCAGCAUCAGGCUUAGGCCUACUUUUCCAAGGCUUUUUGCCUCUUUGAGCAUUUACGCUUGAGGCUUCUCUGGCUUUGGCUUGAAAUGCACCUUCUUGGUGAUCUUCAGCUCUGCUAGCUCUCCUUUGUUCCUGAGCAUAAAAGGUGUUAAUUAGCUCAGUCAAAGAGAUGCUAGCAAGAUCUCUUGAGUCCUCUAAGGAGGAUAUCUUUGCCUCAUAUCUCUCAGGCAAAGUGGAGAGGACUUUCUCCACAAUUCUUGCCUCAUCAAAGUGCUCACCAAGGAGCCUUAUGCUGUUAACCACUGCCAUGAUUCUAUCUGCAUACUGCUUCACUAUUUCUUCUUCCUUCAUCUUCAGAUUCUCGAAAUCCCUUCUCAAAUUCAAUAGCUGCUGUUGCCUUGUCCUCUCAGUGCCUUGAAACUCCUCCUUAAGCUUGUCCCAGGCCUGUUUUGGAGUCUCACAGGCCAUAAUUCUGGUGAAGAUGACAUCUGACACACAGUUCUGGAUGCAAGACAUGGCUUUGUGCCUCUUGGUCCUCUCAUCAGCAUGUUGUCUGAUCUGAGCUACUGUGGGAUUAGCCCUCAGUGGUGCUGGCUCAGCAUCUGUGUUGACAACUUCCCACAGAUCAAAAGCCUGCAGGUAAGUCUUCAUCUUUACCAGCCAUAUAUGAAAGCCUUCUCCAUUAAAGACUGGUGGGGCUGCUGGUGAAAAUCCUGAAGAAGCCAUCAGGUUCCUUGACUUUAAGUAACAGGUCCACUAAGACAAGAGCUCUAGAUACCAAUUUGUUGGUGUUAAGAGGCAACAGCAAGCUGGUUUUAGCUUGCUUGGACAGCAAGUGUCGAGCCUUGCUGAAGAAACAAACUCGAAAAGAAACAGAAAUCAAGCUUGCAAGUGGAAAAACAGAAAAAGGAGAGAGUUUGAAUGAAAAACAAACUGAAAGUUUUUCAUUAACAUUAAACAAGGCAUUGAGCCAUUACAUAUACUAGCUAACAUGUAAUACAAACAAGUAAUUACCUAAUCAACUACCUAACUCCACUAAUCUGUCUUGAAACUUACAAAAAUAGCUUCAUCAUAUUGCUAUGCUGAUUUUCAAUCAAUCAACACAAAAGUACAUCAAAACAUUUAUCUACUUAGUUCAACAUGAACUAGAUUACAAAAUAAUUAAAAUUCAACUAAAACACAACAAGUAAUUUGGCAACUUCAAGCUCCAGCUUCUGCACAUCAUGGCUCGACUGCUUGCUGCCAUUUCUUCUUGCAUGGCCACCUUUGCAUGGGAACUAAUCUCAACAUAUUUUGAUUUUCUUUGUAAUUGACUAAGAGGAAUAAAUAAGCAAGCAAAAGGGGAGUUGGUAGGUGUCAUCUAUGGUCGAAACCUUAACCAUGAAGCAAACAUAAAAGGUAAGCAUUUGAUACAUUAUAAUAAUUAUAUGCAAUUUAGGAAAUUUCCUUAUUUGCUCAUUUGUAUCCAUGUGAAGAAUGAUUAAGAUUGAAUAUAAUCUAAUAUAUACCUUUUGAAUUUUAUCCCCAAUUUUUAAAAGAAUAAAUUUAAAGAAUACAAUACGCUCAACAUUUAUGUACUUUUUGUAUAUUUAAAAUUUAAUCCCUAAUUUUUUAUUUUUAAAAAUUUAGUCUCUUUAUUUUUAAAUUUUAGAAAUUUAGGAUCGUUAAAAUUAUUUGACAUAAUUGUUGAAAAUACCUUCCAUGUUUAUGAGUUUUUGUGUUUGAGCCAUUAACCUUCUUUUUUUAUUGACACCCUCAACAUUACAAUUUGUUUAGAAAUCAACCUAAUUUUCACGGGAUACAAGAGUUGAUCGUCAGUCAAACAAAAGGUUAACGAAGUAGCCUAUGUGGCGUGUCAUAUAUGCACGAGAUCAUAGAUGAUGGCAUCUAUAAAAACAAAAUUGUUUAAAAAAAAUUUUUUAUUUUGUUUCAAUAUUCUUUAUUCUUCUCCUCUUUCUCUCUUCCCCUCUAGCUCCUGUCAUCGUCGUGUCCAAACCCUUCCACCGUUGCCUUCCCUCUCACUCCUAACCGUUGUUCUCACCAAAAAUGUUAGAAGAAAUGUUAGAAGAGAUACUAAUAUAUAUAGAAUUUAUCUGAAUUCAUCCCUCAAAGUCAGAAAAAAAAAUACAUCUUCAAUCACCAGCAAUAUCAUACAAUCAUUAAAAUCCAAAACACCAACUAAAAAAAAAACUAGCUUUCAUCCUAUUGACAAAUUUUGAAGAACAUGUAGAAAACUCAAAAUAAACCUUACCAUUAACAAUCCACAAAGAUCAUAAACAAAGCAACACAACAAAGACAUUAAACUGGGGAUAAAAAAAAAAAAAAGGUACUGACUUUAUCCAUGGAAAAAAAGGGCCAACCCAUUUGAGAAAAACAUCAACCAAUAAUCCUAGAAAGGUAAGUAAAAUUCCCAACUUGAUUCAGUACCAAAUAGACCUUCUCGAUUGAGAACAAAAACCUGGCUCCUUUAGCAAAGAAUUAUUCUCUUCCGCUUCACAUUAUUCUAAUAAUCUCUGUCUCAAACUUACCCUUUUCUCAUUAACAUCAUCAUCACCUUCAACUCAUAAUUUUAGCUCCGGCAUCACUUCUCCUCCCUCAUCAUCAUUUUUAUCAUCAUUGAAAGUCAUUGAAUUUUUAGAACAAGAACCCAAAUUUCACCUGAGAAAAUUAGAGAAGGUGAAGCAAUAAAUGGAUAGAUGAAUUGAAAAACAAAGAAGGAUAUCAAAUAUACCGAAAGAAACCAAACCUAAACCAAACAAAGCGAGUUUGAUUUUUCUAGUUUUUUUAAAUUUAAAAGAAAACCAAAACCCUAAAAUGGGUUACAACAGUGAGUCUCUUUUUGCUUUUUCUUUAUUCUUUUUGGUUGUAUAGAAUUUUGGGUGUUUGACGAAAUUGUCUUUUGUAAGGCUAGCAGAGAUGAACUAGACGUUGAUGAUGAUGAUGAGGAGGAGGAUGGAGAUGGAGAAGAUUUUGGGACAUUUAUGGUAAGAUCGAGGUGAGGUGUGAGAGGGAAGGCGACAGUGGUGGGGGUUGUCUAGCCACAUAGGCUACUUUGUUGACAUGUGGUUUGAUUGACUGUCAACUCAUGUUUCUCACUAAAAUUUGGUUAAUUUCUAAAAAAAUCGUAACGUUGAUAAUGUCAAUUCAAAAAAAAAAGAAGGUUAAAAGCCCAAACCCAAAAACCUAUAAAUGUUGAGGGUAUUUUCGACAAUUAUGCCAAAUUCUUUUGUUAAAUUUGUCGGUUUGAUAUUCUAAAUUUCUUUUUUUUUUUAAAAAACCAUACUCCAUAAUCAUAUUACCGAAAAUGGCAUUAUAAUGGACUUGAAGCUAACAAAAAAAUUUAACGAUGUUAACGCUUCUUUAAACUUACGUCAAAAUUUUAAUUAGAAUAAAAUAUUUAGUCAACGUUGAAGCACCAAACUAUAAAAGAAGUAUAAAGGCUAAAUCUCGAAUUUUAACAUAGUAUAGAGACCAAAUUUGAAAUUUAACUAUUUUUAUCCAUGUGAGCAUUUGAUAGGUUAUAAUAAUUAUAUGCAAUUUAGGAAAAUUUCCUUAUUUGCAUUUGUAUCCAUGUGAGGAAGGAUUAAGAUCAAAUAUAAUAUAAUACAUACUUUUUGAAUUUAAUCCCUGAUUUUUAAAAGAUUAAAUUUAAAGGAUAUCACAUUUAUGUACUUUUGUAUAUUUGAAAUUUAAUACUUAAUUUUUAUUUUUAAGAAUUCAAUCUCUCUAUUUUUUUAAAAUUAUAAAUUUUGGUAUGGUUAACACCGUUAAAAUUGUUAAAAUUCUUUGGCAUAAUUGUCGAAAAUACUCUCAAUGUUUAUGGGUUUUUGGGUUGAGCUCUUAAAUUAUUUUUUUUUUGGAUUGACACCCUCAAUGUUACGAUUUUUCAUAAAUCAAUCCAAUUUUAACAGGAAACAUGAGUUAACCGUUAGUCAAAUCGCAAGUCAAUGAAGUAGCCUAUGUGGCUUGCCACAUAAGCAUGAGGUCAUAGAUGAAGUCAUUUAUAAAAAUAAAAUUGUUUAACAAAUUUUUUUUCAUUUUGUUUCAAUCUUCUUUUCUCUUCUUCUCUUUCUCUCUUCCCCUCUAGCUGUUGUCGCCGUUGUGUCCAACCCUAUCGUCGCCUUCCCUCUCACUCCUCACCAACCCAACCCCCACCACCUCUCACUUCCCUCUCACUCCUCACCGUUGAUCUCAUUGGCAUCUCUUCUAACAUUUGUGGUGAGAUCGACAGUGAAGAGUGAGAGGGAAGGCGGCGGCGGUGGGGGUUGGACACAACGGCAACAGUAGCUAGAGGGGAAAAUAUAAAGAGGAGAAGAAAUAAAUUGAAACAAAAUGAAAAAAAAUGUUAAACAAUUUUGUUUAUAGAUGACAUCAUCUAUGAACUCGUGCUUAUGGGGCACGCCACAUAGGCUACUUCGUUGAUCUGUGGUUUGACCGACUGUCAACUCACAUUUUCCGUUAAAAUUGGGCUGACUUAUUAAAAAAUCGUAACGUUAAGGGUGUCAAUCCAAAAAAAAAAAAAGGUUAAUGGCUCAAACCCAAAAACUCAAAAAUAUUGAGGUUUUUUCGACAAUUAUGCCAAAUUCUUUGUUAAAUUUGUUGGUUUGAUAUCCUAAAAUUUUUUUUAAAAAAAAAGUACUUACUCCAUAAUCAUGUCACAGAAAAUGGCAUUAUAAUGGACUUGAAGCUAAUAAGAAAAUAUUAAAGAUGUUAACACUUAUUUAAAUUUACGUAAAAAAUUAAUUAGAAUAAAAUAUUUAGACUAAAUAAUGACAUUAUAAACAUUGAAGCACCAAAUUAUAAAAAAGUAUAAAGUCCAAAUCUCAAAUUUUAACAUAGUACAAAGACCAAAACUGAAAUUUAAAUAAUCAUACAAUUACUUUCUUUUUUGUUGCAUAUCAUUUCCAAAUACAUAAAACGAUCCAUAUUCAACUAUAACAUAUUGUACACCAAAAAAUAAUUUUGAAAUCAAACAAUUGAAGAAAAAGAGUUAGCUGGAUGCUACAGAACAGUAGUCAAUGUCUGUCAGUUUGACUUUGGCUUGCGCUGCAUGAUUCUAGCUUGUUAUGAAUGCUUAAACUAUGGGUCACUUUCAUAAGACUUUUUCUCUAAUUCCAUGUCCAUUGUAAUUGCUGAAAUUCAUCUUCAUUUUUAGCUACUUGUUAGUGUAUAAAUUGUAGAAAAAUGUCUUCGUUUAAGUUCGAAUUGUUGUAAACUGUCCCUUAAAAAUCUUUAAUACGCAUUGAAGAAAUGAAAACUCGAAUGAAAUACAUGCAUGUUAUCGUGUUUGUUGUGAGUAUGAUCAUUGCAGGGUUCAAUGGAGUCGAUGCAAUGAGUAAAUAUUACAGUCACUGCGGGAAACAUGACAUCGAAAAGGAGGCUCAAAAUCUGUUCCCAUGUUAUGAGAUUAGUUAACGGGAAACAUGAGUUAACCGUUAGUCAAAUCGCAAGUUUCUUAUUUAAAUAAGAAACAUGUCCUAAACAUGGUAUAUCACCACUCAAUAAGAAACCGAUUGGAAGUAUGACAGAGGAUGUUGUGCAAAGUCGGAACAUGUCCUAAGCUGUAUGUUGUACAAACUCUGAACCUGUCAAUACCAAGUCCGGCCAUAGUGUGGGCAAUUGGUUCCAAAGAGCUAUAUCACCACUCAACAAUUGCUUUUAAAUAAGAAACAAAAAAAUUGAUUAGAUUACAGAUAAAUUACUUAAUAGUUUCAAGUGAAGAAUGUAUAUGCGUACUUGGAGUCGUGGCCGGGUUAGAAUAGGUUGUGGAUGGGUGCAAGGCUUCCUUGCAUUGUAUGGGGGCACCGGCAUGUCAUGAGCGUCUUGCGCCCAAAUUCCAUGUAUUUUGAAUUCAGUUGGGAUUGGGAGUUUACAGUUGAAAGUAGAGCUGCAAACAGAGGAGGCCACUGCAGUGCCAACUUAUAGAAGUCUACCACUGGAAUUACUGGCGGCUGGGGUACUGCAAAUGCUACCCAUAAUGAAAAAUGAUACAAUGCAUUUUUACAAAUUUACAAAUCAAAAGAGAACUACUCCAUAUAUAGAUCUUACAUGCAUAGAUGGUCGGGCUGAGAUUGGAUGAUUGUGCUUUGCAAGCAGCUGGUUUAUGAUCUCCUUUAUAAGCUUGGCACACAUAUUUCACGAAAUUUUCAAAGUCCUGCAACCAUGAAAUAAAUGUUGAAGUUACUUGUCACAAAAUGUUACUUCACAGUCACACCAAGAGGGAGAAAUAAACAAACUCACUUGUCUGAGUGGCUGAUUAUUCACCACCACCCAUGGCACAUAUUCUUGAGGUGGCUUCAGAUGUGCAGUCUCGUUAGCAUAUUGCAGCAGAAGCUGCAUUUUAUUAACUUGGAAAUUCAAUGUUAGAAAAAGCUAAGGAGAAGUGUUAAUUAAAUACUAAUACAUGCAGCCAACCUUAUAUCCAAAUCCAGUAGUAUAGCAUUGGUUGAUUAUCACCUCAUUCAAUCUCAGCUUUUCACUGCAAUUUUUCCACAGUGCUUCAACGGGCCACCCCUUUAAGCUUUGUUGCUCUGUGCAGCCAAUGAAUUCCAAGUGUUCUUUCUGCUACAAAGUAGAGUAAGUAAACACGAGUUGGAGACGAGUACAAAUACUUAUGGCUAAUAGAAGUUACCACAUCAGGCCAGAAAUGGAUGACACAACUAUGUAUAGUGUUUAAGUGGCAUUCUUCUUCUCCAUGCUGGACAUUGUUGCAUAAACUAUAAUUAGUUACAGUAGAAGAAAGAAAUUGAACUUCAUUAGUUAAUAAUGAAAAUAUAUUAAAAUGAAGAAUGGAGUUGUAAACCUGGCAAUGGAUUUCAGCAUUGCUCCAAGGGACCAAUCUUAGAUUGAUAAUGGUAUGGAGGUCAGUGUGGAAGACCUUGACGAGGUCGUUGGAGAUAAAGGAGGCACAACGUGGACAUAAACUUGUUUCAUAGUACAGUGACACAGUAACCCUGUCAUUAACAUUAUCUAAAGAGGAAUGGGAGGGAGAAAUAAGCCAAAAUAUUGCAAGAGCAGACAGAAUAUAGAAGAUCAGUGGUUGAAGAUAAGCCAUUGUUUUAGUGGUAGCUUCUGCACAAUGCUGAACCUCCAUUAUGCAAUGUUUUUUAUAGUUGAGAAAGGGGAUGAUGGCUAUUGUUUUCUAUCACUUUCAGAAACCAUGUGACGUUAUCACUUUCAGAAACCACUUUAAAAAAUUAUUUACAUGAAGAUUGUUUAUUUAUGUAUAUGGUUCUUGCUUUUUCUAAUUUUACUUUGGAAAUUACAAAAAUAAUCAACAUUGUAGUUAUAUCUAAUACUAGUUUCAAUCACAUGUAAUAAGUUCCACGUUAAUAAAAUAAGUCCUUAAUUUUUCUUAACAUGGCUUUCGAUGUGUCUGUUUCAAUAUGUAUAAAUAUGGGGAAUCAACUUCACAAGUAAUUGCUUAUAAUGGUUUAUUGCUUAUAACAAUUGAUAUAUAUAUGUAUAUAUAUGAACUUAACCAAACAUCCUCAAAGUUGUUGGAAUUUUGGUUUCUUUAAAAUUUUAGUAGGGUUUAAAACUUGAUUAAGAGUAUGGUAAUUAAUGGUUAGAGGAGAAAAUGAAUUGAUUUGUUUUUAUAAGUACUGUUAGUCUUUCACAUGAAAUAGGGUAAGAAUCUCAAUUUAACAAAAAUGGAUUUGCUUUUAUCAAAGUCUCAAGAUUAUAAGGUAGCAUUGGUUGGCUGGUAUUUUCAUGCGUAAAAAUAUAUUCAUUUUUGUUAAAUUGUGAUUUUUCCUACACUUGUAUGUGAUUCACACUAGCAGGUAAAUUCUUUCGUUUGUUGAGUAAAUUAAAUUAUCAAAGGUGUUCAAAGUCAAAUAUUAACUUAAAUGUUGCAAUAAUUAAUGCAAAAGGGAGAUUAUGAGUGAUUGUUGGAGGUCAUACCAUAGGUAGAAAGGGAGGAAACAGUGGGACAACCAACAAAGCCAAGACUUGAUCCAUUUAUACUCAGCCAUUAAGAUGUAAUGUAGUAGUUUAUACUUCUGAUUUUGGUUUCUCAAGAAUUAGAUUUAUCCAUAAUCGAAUUGGAUUGAGAUUAUCUCAAGUUUUCCUAACGUAACCAAUGCCACAUUUAUUAAAAGUAUAUAAUCAUGUUUUAAAGUAGAAAAAAAUGAUUUUAUUCUUUGCAUCUUUGUUUUGAUUUGUAAGAAACUUGCAAGUAUAACUAUGCCAUUUUGGAAGGACAAUCAGAGUGCUUAUGGAGCAAAUCUUAACAAUAAAGCAAAGAAGCAUUUAAUACAUUAAUUUUAUUCUUGUAGUGACAGCGAUGUUUAAUUUUUAAGAGUUAUUAAAACUCUUUAUUUGCAACCCAAUGGUUAUCUGAAAUCGAAUUAAAUUUCUUUUUAUUUAAUAUACAAUUAAUUUUAAUUUUUUAUUAUAAAAAUAAAUAUUAUUUGUUUAAAAUAGUAUAAAUAACUUAAAAAUUCUUGUAAAAUCAUUAUUAUUAUUUUUUUGCAAAUAUUUAUUAAAAGGGCUUUCAAAUUUGUCAAAUAAUAUUAAAAAAAAGCAUAAAACAAAGUCAAUUUUGUUAAAAUAAGUCUAAAAAUCUAAAAUAAAACAUUAUUAUGAAAAAAUUAACAACUCUUCAUAAAUUCUAUUUAUGCCCCCAAAAAUGAUACAAAUUUGAUUUAUUCUCUAAAAAUUUAUAUAGAUAUAAGUUAUUAAAAUUGUGAAAUUGCAUCUUUACUAUCAUAAAAAUAUAUAAUUUUAUCCCCAAAAUAAAACUUUCCUAGCUUCACCCCUGAUCGACAAUGCUAAUAUAAGUUUGUUACAAAAGAUUGGCAUUAUAGUGGAAUUGGAGCUAACAAAAAAAAAAAUAACAAUGUUAAUGUUUCUUUAAAUUUAGGUCAGAAUUUUUAUUAGAAUAAAAUAUUAAGGGUAAAUUACACAUAAAAGUCCUAUUUUUUUAAAAUUUACCGAAAUGGGCCCGGUAUUUUAUUAUUUACCGGAAUGGGCCAUUUUCCCCGAAAUCGCCUCCACGUCAGCGCGAUGUCAGGGGAUGUGUCAGCAAAUCGCGUCCACAUCAGCGCGAUUACUUACGUGGCAACAAAUCGCGUCCACGUAAGCGCGAUUUGCUGACGUGGAAGCAAUAAUUCAUGAACAGUUUAUGUUUUUUAGCUUGGAAAACUUUGAAAGGCCAUAACUUUUGACUCGGUUAUCCGAUUGAGACGAUUCAUUAAAAUACAUUAACAUUACCUAAAGAGGAAUGGGAGGGAGAAAUAAGCCAAAAUAUUGCAAGAGCAGACAGAAUAUAGAAGAUCAGUGGUUGAAGAUAAGCCAUUGUUUUAGUGGUAGCUUCUGCACAAUGCUGAACCUCCAUUAUGCAAUGUUUUUUAUAGUUGAGAAAGGGGAUGAUGGCUAUUGUUUUCUAUCACUUUCAGAAACCAUGUGACGUUAUCACUUUCAGAAACCACUUUAAAAAAUUAUUUACAUGAAGAUUGUUUAUUUAUGUAUAUGGUUCUUGCUUUUUCUAAUUUUACUUUGGAAAUUACAAAAAUAAUCAACAUUGUAGUUAUAUCUAAUACUAGUUUCAAUCACAUGUAAUAAGUUCCACGUUAAUAAAAUAAGUCCUUAAUUUUUCUUAACAUGGCUUUCGAUGUGUCUGUUUCAAUCUUUAUAAAUAUGGCGAAUCAACUUCACAAGUAAUUACUUAUAACAAUUGAUAUAUAUGUUUAUAUAUGAACUUAACCAAACAUCGUCAAAGUUGUUGGAAUUUUGGUUUCUUUAAAAUUUUAGUAGGGUUUAAAUCUUGAUUAAGAGUAUGGUAAUUAAUGGUUAGAGGAGAAAAUGAAAUGAUUUGUUUUUAUAAGUACUGUUAGUCUUUCACAUGAAAUAGUGUAAGAAUCUCAAUUUAACAAAAAUGGAUUUGCUUUUAUCAAAGUCUCAAGAUUAUAAGGUAGCAUUGGUUGGCUGGUAUUUUCAUGCGUAAAAAUAUAUUCAUUUUUGUUAAAUUGUGAUUUUUCCUACACUUUUAUGUGACUCACGCUAGCAGGUAAAUUCUUUCGUUUGUUGAGUAAAUUAAAUUAUCAAAGGUGUUCAAAGUCAAAUAUUAACUUAGAUGUUGCAAUAAUCAAUGCAAAACAGAGAUUAUGAGUGAUUGUCGGAGAUCAUACCAUAGGUAGAAAGGGAGGAAACAGUGGGACAACCAACAAAGCCAAGACUUGAUCCAUUUAUCAAAUCCUUGCUAUCUCAACUCAGCCAUUAAGAUGUCAUGUAGUAGUUUAUACUUCUGAGUUUGGUUUCUCAAGAAUUAAAUUUAUUAUCAAAAUUAGAUUUAUCCAUAAUCGAAUUGGAUUGAGAUUAUCUAACGUAACCAAUGCCACAUUUAUUAAAAGUAUAUAAUCAUGUUUUAAAGUAGAAAAAAAUGAUUUUACAAAACACACAAGUUUUUAUAAGAGAAGAUUAGAAAGGAACAUAGCCUUUUGAAGUUGUAAUUUGUGAUGGGAAAGAAACGAUAAAACUUUGAUUUAAUUCUCUAAAAAUUAUAAAGAUAUAAGUUCCUGAAAUAGUAAAAUUGCAUUUUAACUAUCGUAAAAUUAUACAAUUUAAUCUCUCCAAAAUGAAAUUUUCCUAACUUCAUCCCUAAUUGACAAUACUAAUUUAAAUUUACUCCUAAGUCGUAUUUUAGAUCCGUCACUAUGCACACAAAAUUUUCAUCACCCAAGCUUCGGGUAGUUGAAAGCUCCUCCUUUGCAUCUUUGUUUUGAUUUGUAAGACACUUGCAAGUAUAACUAUGCCAUUUUGGAAGGACAAAACCUUAACAAUAAAGCAAAGAAGCAUUUAAUACAUUAAUUUUAUUCUUUUGGUUACAGCAAUGUUUAAUUUUUAAGAGUUAUUAAAAGUCUUUAUUUGCAACCCAAUGGUUAUCUGAAAUCGAAUUAAAUUUCUUUUUAUUUCAUAUAUAAUUAAUUUUAAUUUUUUAUUAUAGAAAUAAAUAUUAUUUGUUUAAAAUGGUAUAAAUAACGUAAAAAUUCUUGUAAAAUCAUUAAUUUUUUUGCAAAUAUUUAUUAAAAGGGCUUUCAAAUUUGUCAAAUAAUAUUAAAAAAAAGCAUAAAACAAAGUCAAUUUUGUUAAAAUAAGUCUAAAAAAUAUAAAAUAAAAAAUUAAUAUGAAAAAAUUAACAACUCUUCAUAAAUUCUAUUUAUGCUUAAAUAAGUCUAUUAGAAAGGGCAUGCCGUUUUAGCAAUGAAAAUAUAUUUUUAAAUAAUUUCAGAGUUUUUCUUCAAUUAUCUUAAAUUUUUACCCAUAUAUCAUAGGGGUUAUUAAGCUUUAUUGAAAACAAAUAUUUAGAUGGAUCUUAUAAACAUCCAUCUGUGACACUCAUAUACUUGUAUGGAUAUAAUUUUUUUUUUAAAUAUUCAUAUCAAUUAUUAAUUAUUUUUUAUAUCCUAUAAUUACUUCCUAAUUCAAUCUUAAUAUUCAAAGCAAUGGGUAUGAGGAGAAGCUUCGAGUUGAAAUUAAUACAAAAAAAGUAAAAGCAUAUACAGAAAAAAAAAUUCUAUUUAUGAAAAAUUUAACAUGUGGGUUGACUCAAUAGCUUUCAAAAAGCCAAACAAAAUUAAACUCUUGGUGGGAAAAAAGGGGGAAAAUAGAAAAUUGGAAGAAUAAAACCCCAAACUUUUAAAAGUAAAUACUUUUUUGGGAGGGAAAAGAUUUGAUUUUUUUUUUGUUCAAUUGCUAGAAUCUGGUUAGUGAGUUUCCCUUUUCUCUGUUUCCAAACUUUCAAUUAUUUAUCUAUUUAUGUAAGAAGGUUGCAGUUUAUAAGAAGUUAAUCCCAAAGCUUUGAUGGACAAAAGAAAACAUGUGUGAAACUAUCAAAGAUUCCAUUGACAGUAAACAAAAAUGGAUUUGCUUUCACGUAUCAACUUACCUAGCUACCAUAAUAUUAAUGCAAAUUCCUUUCUCAAACAAUGCUUUGAGUCUCAAAAUUAUAAUGUAGAAUUGGUUAGCUGGUAUCUUCAUGCAUCAAGAUAUCCUUAUUGGCAGGUUUAUCCAUGUGAAGAAGGAUUACGAUAAAAUAUUCUUAUUUGCAGGGCUAACCACUACCAAAUUUACUGGCAAAAAUAAAGUAGAUUAGUUUUUCAAGAAAAUCGGUCAAUUUUAAUUUUUAUGCAAAUCAUUGGACACCAUCAAUAAAAAUUAAUAAUUAUUUAAAGAGAUAUUGUCAUAUUUAUGAAAAGGGUUUUCAAAUUUAUCAAAUAAUAUUAAAAAAAAUGCACAAAACAAAGUUAAUUUUGUCAAAAUAAGUCUAAAAAUUCAAAACCAAAAAUUAAUAUGAAAAAAUCGAGAACCGAACUAUGAUGGACAGUUUAAAAACUCUAAAACCCCCGACUGUAUAGUAAUACUCUAUUUAUUUAUAGAGAGAAGAAGACGCACCUACGUAUUACUAAAAUAUUUGAAUUCAACAUUAUAAUCAUGUCACAAAAAAUAAAAUUAUAAUGGACUUGAAUUUAACAAAAAAUUUAACGAAGCUAACGCUCCUAUAAAUUUAUGUCAGAAUUUUAAUUAGAAUAAAAUAUUUAAACUAACUAAUGACAUUAUAAACGUUGAAGCACCAAACUAUAUAAAAAAGAUCAAAUAUAAAGUUUAAAUCUCAAAUUUUAACAUAGUAUAGAGACUAAAAUUGAAAUUUAUCUAUUAAUGUAUAAAGGUUGCACUUUACAAGCACUUAAGUGUUUGAUGAAAAGGAUAUAAAUUAAUUAUAUAAUAUAAACUACCAUGCCACAAUAAUUAUAUAAUAUACAAAUUCAUUAUACCCAUGCAGACUUCAUUUAUGCAUACAACGUAAUCUUAAAACUUAAAGUUGAAUAUAAUUAUUGUAACUUAACGUGGAUUGAAUGCAAAACUUAGGGUGGGUUUGGAUGGGCGAUUGGGUGCGGUGCGGUGCGUUUAGCCUACAUUUUGUCUCACGCUACAGUGUUGCUACAGUAUUUAAUCUCACCGCCACCGUUGUUUUUACAUUAACCGCAGGUAAACGCACUGCCCAUCCAAACUCACCCUAAGUAUAUCUUUAUAUUUAUUAGUGUUCAUCUAUUGCUUUCAAUAAACCACAUGUACAUAUUGAUUAUGACAUUCUAAAAUAAACACAACAUUUUAACAUAACUCUUAUAAUACAUUCUUUCAACUCUAACAUAUCAUAUCAUAUCAUUACAUUAAUUACACAUAAAAUAUUCUUUUACACAUAAUCUGCCAAAAUAUUAUUUGUUGUUAUCAUCAUACCGUAAAAUGAACCGGACUACAAAUUCAAUGCAUUUAGGGAAUAUUAUUUGAGAAAUGUCUUAGUUAUGCUGAAUAUUGCAUUCAAGAAAUGGAAACUCAAGUGAAGUAGAUGUGGGUUAUGGUGUUUAUUGUGAGUAUUAAGCAUUGCAGGGUUCUAUGGAACUCAAUAGCUUUCAAAAAGUCGAACAAAAUUAAAUUGUUAGUGGGGAUUGAAACUCAAUCGAUAAAAAAAGAAAAAGAAGAGAAAAUUGAAAAUUGAAAAUUGAAAAUUGGAAGAAUAAACAAUUAAUGUAAAUAGAAAUCUGAUUGGUGAGUUUUCAUUUUUGUUUUAUGAAAUUUCUCUUUUCUUUGUUUCCAAUCUUUCAAUUGUUUAUCUAUUUAUGUAUGAAGGUUGCAGUUUAUAAGAUCUCAAAUGUUUGAUAAAAAGAAUUUAAAUUAAUCCCAAAGCUUUAAUGUGCAAAAGAAAACAUGCCAAAAUUGUCAAAGAUUCCAUUGACAACAAACAAAAAUGGAUUUGCUUUCACAUAUCAACUUACCCACCAUAAUAUUAAUGCAAAUUCCUUUAUCAAAACAAUGCUUUGAGUCUCCAAAUUAUAAUGUAAAAUUGGUUAGCUGGUGUUUUCAAGCAUCAAAAUAUAUCUAUUUUUGUUGUGAUUCACACCAGCUGACAGAAAGAUUAGCUUAGCAAGAUUCCUUGCUUUGUUGAGUAAAUUGAAAUUAUUGAAGGUGUUCAAGGUCAAAUAUUAACCUAAAUGUUACAAUAUUUAACGCAAAAGGAAUACCAUAAGUGAUUGUUGCAUAUCAUACCAUAGAUAAAAAGGAAUAAAACGGUGGGACAACCAACAAAGUCAAGACUUGAUUCAUUUAUCAAAUCCUUGCUAUCUCAGCUCAGCCAUCAAAAUGUAACGUAGUAGUUUAUACUUGUGAGUUUGGUUUCUCAAGAAUUGAAUUUAUUAUCAAAAUUCAACAUUUCCAAUAAUUAUCAAAAUACCGGUGAGCUCCAGUUUCCGAGCGUUGCUGCGCUAUAAUAGAGAAAAAGCUUAGCAAUCCAGACUGUCUCUGUGCUAUUUUGCAAACUCGUAUGCUGGAGUGAGAAAUGAAAUCCAAGUGUAGCCAGUUUUCUCAAUUCAUAUUUGAUCUUUAAGAUAUCAUCCCUAUUAUUUAGGGAUGGCAAAACUCAAACCAUCAUUCAGAAUAGAGAGGAUUUUCUUUUGAAAGUGAAUGCAGAUUGAAUUUUAUAGUAGUUAAAGCAAUUAACACACAAGCUUGUAACACAAGGUAACUUGAAAAAAGUACCAUAAUUUCACUCACUCGAACGAAAUGGGAUCAUGGCAACAUGGAUUUGUGGCUGAUUCGAUGCUCGUGUUGUGUUGUGGUGUUCAUCGGAUCUUCAUCUGUUUAAGAAUCUUAACCAUCAGGUGAGACCUGUUUUGGAUUAAGUUAUAAAAAUUAUGCCACUUACAGCAAUUAUUUUAAUUAGUUAAUGACAACCUUAAACAUCAAAUCCUCUUCGACUUGCAAUUUUUUUCCGCAGAAAACAAUAUCAACAUCUAAGCAAUCUUAUAGAUAUCUAACCAACAAAAACCAAAUAUAAACUGAACAAUUCUCCAAAUACAGAAACCAGGAAAUAGUUAACAUCUCAAACAUAUAACCCAAACAAUAACAGCAAUAUUAAGAAGCUCACAACAAAAAAUUCCUAUUACAUCUUACACAUAUAUGUUCUAGCUCCGCAUCCCUCUUCAUAUUCAGUAUCCAUUUCAUGCCUUCUUCAUAUUUAGUAUUCAUUUGAUGCAUCUCUCGCUGGUUGACGUAUUACAUGUUUCUCAAUAUUCUCUUGUAUUCCAUUGAUACGAACCAGGCUCUCUAAAUAUGCAUGAAGGGAGAUGGUGAACCGAAAAUGAUCUAGAUAAGUAUUAAUCUGAAGCUCCUUAAGCUCUUGGGUGGAGGCGUCAAAUAGGAGUACUUCAUCAUUUGUGUCUCUAAGAAACAAGUCACCAUUUUUCCCAAAUCCCAAUGGGUGUACAACUCCAGAAAUGGAUUUAAUAUUGAAUUGUUUAGUCCACACUCCUUCACUUGUAACCCAUAAAUCAAAAGACGUGUCAAUUCCUUCCGUUGGGUAAACAAUAGCACCAAGUGAUCCAUUAAACACCAAUAGAUUAACAUAGUAUUCUGGGAAAGACCCAACGAAUUCUGGGAUAGGUAAAAUUGAGAACUUCUCAUUCCCCAUGUCAAAUGAAAGAAUUAGUCCUCUAAAAUCAAGAUAUGCCCGUCUCUGUUUUCAUAUAGCAAAUUCCGUCUACAUAAUUAUUUCCCAAAGUUGUUCCAGUUGGUUUAUAAUCAGGACAUGGAAUUUCCUUCCAGGAAUUACUUCUAAGAGAAUACAACUCAACUUGGUACAUAAAAUGAGAAUGUGGAUAUUGUUCUUCACUAUUAACAAAAGUAAGAGUAACAAAUCGUAUGACUUUGUAGUCAUCAGUUUUAGAAUCAAACCCAAAAGAAGCGUGGUUAAAUUCAACGUGAUCUAAAGUAAGGUAGGUUUCUUCGAAUGGGGAAAAAUAUGGAGGGCGUUGGAUUGAAGAUGGUGGAAGGAUUUUAAACUCUCUGGUUGAUGGGUUCCAAAUGGCAGCCUUAUCCUUUGAAGGAUCAAGUAAACACAACAAUCCAUGACAAGCACCAUAAACAGAGGGGCGAUCAUUCUUAAAAAAGGGCAAGUGAAUGUUUUGUUUUACUAUAUAAUUUUGAUAUUUUUCAUUUGAAAGUUGAGAGAAAUAACGUUGGAAGGUGUUACCAUCACAGCGACUAAGCAGUAGAUUAAGGUUGUUGUUUUCAAGGUUGUUGUGAUAAUUAUUGGAAAUGAAAUGAGGAGUUUGAAAAGAAGAACACCAAUACUUACAAACACAGUUGAAGCGAGUAAGGGAUUUAACUGGCAGCUUUGACAGAAUUUCCAUAACCAAAGCUUCUGGCAAUUCAAACCUUGGCCUCUGCAUCUUGCUAUUUUGAUUUUCUUUGUAAUUGGGUAAGAG
rnacentral:lncRNA from 1 species